CCAAUGCCAGCAUUACACCUAUAUCGGGCAGUUCUUUUUAUUCUCAACCAAAUGGAGGGAGUGUAGGACCUAUCCCCAACGCGCACCUUUCCCCAAGGGGCGUACCAGUUUCUUCCCUGCCCUCCACUGGAGCCCCAAUGAAGGACUUGAAUUACUAUAAAAGUUUGAUUCAGCAACAUGGAGGGGAGAGACAAGAUGAUCCCCCUCGGCAGCAAUUCGGGAACCGUCACAACCAGCCAUCAGGCACAAACCAGGAAUUCUUACAGAGCCAACCAUCAAGGGAUGGGAAGUUCAAGAUAAUGAAGCCUUGCAUAUAUUUUAACAGCUCAAGAGGAUGUCGACAUGGAGCCAAUUGCGCGUAUCAGCAUGACCCCAUGUUCCAGCAGAGAAAUACUAGCGUGCCCGAAAUGCCUAGCUCUAAGAGAACAAAAGUUGAUAGAGAAAUCAGCAGUUAAUGGUAGAGUAUCGUUACCGUGGAAGUCGGG
rnacentral:misc_RNA from 1 species